rnacentral:snRNA from 1 species
ACCUUGAUCUUCUGAGAAGG